rnacentral:rRNA from 1 species
GACGAACGCUGGCGGCGUGCCUAAUACAUGCAAGUAGAACGCACAGUUUAUACCGUAGCUUGCUACACCAUAGACUGUGAGUUGCGAACGGGUGAGUAACGCGUAGGUAACCUGCCUGGUAGCGGGGGAUAACUAUUGGAAACGAUAGCUAAUACCGCAUAAUAUUAAUUAUUGCAUGAUAAUUAAUUGAAAGGUGCAAUUGCACCACUACCAGAUGGACCUGCGUUGUAUUAGCUAGUAGGUGAGGUAACGGCUCACCUAGGCGACGAUACAUAGCCGACCGGAGAGGGUGAGCGGCCACACUGGGACUGAGACACGGCCCAGACUCCUACGGGAGGCAGCAGUAGGGAAUCUUCGGCAAGGGACGAAAGUCUGACCGAGCAACGCCGCGUGAGUGAAGAAGGUUGUCGGAUCGUAAAGCUCUGUUGUAAGAGAAGAACGGGUGUGAGAGUGGAAAGUUCACACUGUGACGGUAUCUUACCAGAAAGGGACGGCUAACUACGUG